rnacentral:rRNA from 1 species
UGGCGACCGGCGCACGGGUGAGUAACGCGUAUCCAACCUGCCCUUUACUAUGGGACAGCCCGUCGAAAGGCGGAUUAAUACCGUAUGUUGUCAUGUUGAUGCAUAUUUUACAUGACCAAAGGCUUCGGCCGGUAAAGGAUGGGGAUGCGUCUGAUUAGCUUGCCGGCGGGGUAACGGCCCACCGGGGCGACGAUCAGUAGGGGUUCUGAGAGGAAGGUCCCCCACAUUGGAACUGAGACACGGUCCAAACUCCUACGGAAGGCAGCAG